GUGAGUUACAAUUUUCAAUAUUUAGUUAACAAAUCUGUAUAUGUUAUUUUUUUCCCUUUUGUUUUGUUUCAGUAGAUUCUUCAUCUUGUCUCUAAACGAGGAAAUAUUGAUUGGGAGCUACUCAUUCAGAAAAUUAAAAGAAAGAAGCCAUAAUAUAUUAUUGAUCCUUUGAGAACACAACAUAACCACCUUUACCAUUUAUCAUUUCAUUGAAUAGGUAAGACCUUCUCUACUAUUAAAAAGUUACCCACACUUGUGUAAAAUAACUCUGUGCUAACCGUCUGGUUUUUCUUUUGUUUUGUUUUUUGUCUUUAAAUAAAUAUCAAUUCAGUUUGAUAAGGGAGAAAAAAGUAUAUUUUUUAAUUUUAUGACUAAAAAAUUUAGAAUUAUUAAAGUAGCACUUCAUAGUGGUUAAAAUGAUGUAAUAGUAAAAGAACAUC
rnacentral:lncRNA from 1 species